rnacentral:rRNA from 1 species
AUUGAACGCUGGCGGCAUGCUUUACACAUGCAAGUCGAACGGUAACAGGCCGCAAGGUGCUGACGAGUGGCGAACGGGUGCGUAAUGCAUCGGAACGUGCCCAGACCUGGGGGAUAACUACUCGAAAGAGUAGCUAAUACCGCAUACGAUCUAUGGAUGAAAGCGGGGGACCGCAAGGCCUCGUGCGAUUGGACCGGCCGAUGUCAGAUUAGGUAGUUGGUGGGGUAAAGGCGCACCAAGGCAACGAUCUGUAGCUGGUCUGAGAGGACGACCAGCCACACUGGAACUGAGACACGGCCCAGACUCCUACGGGAGGCAGCAGUGGGGAAUAUUGGACAAUGGGCGCAAGCCUGAUCCAGCAAUGCCGCGUGCAGGAAGAAGGCCUUCGGGUUGUAAACUGCUUUUGUACGGAACGAAACGGCUCUGGUUAAUACCCGGCGCUAAUGACGGUACCGUAAGAAUAAGCACCGGCUAACUACGUG